rnacentral:rRNA from 1 species
UGCGUAGGCGGCCCGUUAAGUCAGGGGUGAAAUCCCGCAGCUCAACUGCGGAACUGCCCUUGAUACUGGCGGGCUCGGAUUGGCGCGAGGCGGGCGGAACGUGGCAUGUAGCGGUGAAAUGCUUAGAUAUGCCACAGAACACCGAUUGCGUAGGCAGCUUGCCAGAGCCAUAUCGACGCUGAGGCACGAAAGCGUGGGGAGCGAACAGGAUUAGAUACCCUGGUAGUCC